AAAAUAAAAUUGAAUUUAUUUCAUAUUAAAACAAGGGACCUCUGAGUGUGUCACUUCUUGAACCUGGAAGCCAGAAGAACCCAGUUCUCUCGUCUCCUGAGCUGGUGCCAACCCUGCUCCUCUUGCAGGCAUGGAAUCUUCUUCACCAAUGGGGAGAGUCUUAUGCAAAUUAUUUGAGACCUAGAUUACACUGGUAUAGUGGGAAACUCAAAGAUUUAUAAUUUAGAAGACUUAGGUUCUAAUCCUGGCUCUGCCAUUAACUACUUGUGUGACAGAUAAAUAAAAUCAUUUCACUUC